GACGCUGUCAAUCAGAUGUGUUUUUAGUAAAUGGACGCUGUCAAUCAGAUGUGUUUUUAAUAAAUGGACGCUGUCAAUCACAUGUGUUUUUAAUAAAUGGAAGCUGUCAAUCACAUGUGUUUUAAUUUAACUAGGAUCAAUAAAGGAUGAAGUAAUUUAUGACGGUGAGUACAGUCACUAACCCUAAUGUAUCUGAAAGUGAAAGCGUCUCGAGCUUUCGGACACAACUGAGCCAUAAGAUCUUUCUUUAUUUCUGAUUUUGUAAGUUGGACUGUUACAAGAUAAAUUUUGUUUUAUAUGUUGUUGAAAAUAAAUACAAGCUUUGUAAGUGUAUGUAGUAUAACAAAAUAUCAAAUCUUUAGGUAGGAAUAACUCUCGAACAAACAGACCGUCACCUAGAGGUAAGUCAUAGCCAUACAUUUUCACGUAGAAGUAAUUCCAGAGUAAACAGAUCGUCACCUAGAGGUAAGUCAUAGCCAUAAAUCUUCUCGUGGAGAUAACUCACGAAUAAACAGACCGUCGCCUAGCGGUAAGUCAUAGCCAUAAAUCUUCACGUAGAAGUAAUUCCAGAGCAAACAGGCCGUCACCUAGAGGUAAGUCAUAGCCUUAAACCUUCUCGUAAAAGUAAUUCCCGAGCUAACAGACCGUCACCUAGAGGUAAGUCAUAGCCAUAAAUCUCGUAGAGAUUAUUCACGAAUAAACACUUUUAUUUAGAGAAAGGCAAGUCAUAUAUAUUAAAUCGCCGAAGUAAGUCAAUCACAGGCUAUCACGUUAGGAACUAAGAGAUUGUCAAGUAAAGGUAAUAAUUCACUGAAAGACCAUCAC